GGGUGCUUGAGGCUGUCUGUCUCAAGCGCAAGCAAGAGCCAGAUAGACGAAAGCCCCGAAGGUCAAUUUUCAUUAACCAACGAGGCCCAACAUAAUGUUCGCAAAACUGAUGUUAGCCUCUCUCGACGCAGGAGGCAAGUAUG
rnacentral:antisense_RNA from 19 species